rnacentral:tRNA from 1 species
GCCCGCUUAGCUCAUCGGUAGAGCGCGUCACUAGUAAUGACGAGGUGAUUGGUUGUAAGUUGUCUCGACACGAACGAAAUUAAUUAGAUCGUUCCUAACGGCGUUCUCUGUAGCGAUUCCAGUAGCGGGCA